rnacentral:lncRNA from 1 species
UGCGUUUUAAUCCAAAUACCACAAAGUUGUUAUGUGGUAUUUCUAGAUAUUAGGGGCUAAUCCACAUAUGGGUCAAAUCAUAGGGGGGCAAAUCGAAAUUUAUCCUGCAAUUAAUGUGGUUUGACCACAUGGGGAAGGAAAACGCAGGAUUUGUGUGAAAUUCUUGCGACUCUAACGAGGCAUAUGGGGUUGAAUUUUCUGUUUUAGAUGGGAGAGUUCUGAGAAAUUUGAAAGAGACCCAAAAAUGAUAUUUAGGUGAUGUUUGGUAACUGUUUAAUUUUCGUUUUUCUGUUUUUGUUUUGUUUAAUUUAUUAAUGAAAAUAGAAAAUUUGUUUGUGUUGAAAAAAAUAAAUAAAAACAAGGCUAAACAGUUUUCAUUAUUUUUGAAAAUAGUAAAAAUAAGAAAAAAUUAUUUUUAUUUUGUUUACAAAAUUUAUUUACAAACUUUUUUUAUUCAAAUUUUUUUUCAACCACCCCACCUCCACCCUCUUCCUCCUCACCACCACCGCUCCCCUCCAACCACCUCAUCACCGCCAUCCACCAGCCAUCACCACAUCUCAUCCACUGAUACCACCUCUCCUUCCUCCUCCACACCUCCACCACCAUCGCUCCUCCUCUACCACCACCACCGCUACCACUCCUCCUCAUCAUCACCCACCCUUCACCGCCACCACACCUCCUCCUCCCACCCCCUCCACCUCCUUCCUCCUUCACCACCUCCACCGCCGCGCCUCCUCCUCCCUCCUCCACCCCAACCUCCUAACCACCCACCAACCACUCGCCGCCGCCGCCACCACUACCGUACGCCGCCACCUACCUUCUCACCUCCACCACCACCACUACCUCCACCCCUCCUCUCCUCCCCUGUCCACCUCCACCUCUCCACCUCACCACCUUCUCACCUCCUCCUCGAACCCGCCUCCACCACACACAUUUUUUAAAAUAGUUUAAAAAAAGUAGGUGAACCAAAUUAUUGUUUUUUUUAAAUAAUUAAAAAGUGAACACAAACAUACUUGUAAUUUUUGUUUUAUAAAAAAUUAACAAACAAAAAACAAAAUUAAACACACACCAAAAAACAGAAAUAAAAAACGUUACCAAACACCCCUGGAUUGAUUUGAAUUAGAAAAAAUCGACGAAAAAAAGUAAUUUAUAAUUUUUUGAUUUUUUUAUUAGAAGAGUUCAAAAUUUUAAUAAAGUUUUUUUUAGUGAUUUUUUUUCUUCAAAUUAGGUUAAAAUGUUUACAUUUUCUAACUCUUCUCGUAAAGAGGAAUCGAAAAAAUAUAAAAUUUUGAUCAAAUGUUGAAAAAAGUUCAUUAAAGACAAAAAAAUUAGAAAACCAAGCAAUCAAAAAAAAAAACCAAAAAAUAAAAUAACUCAAAUUGGGCCUAAGAGAGAUUAUUUGGUGCUCUUAGAAUAAUGCUCUACACAAAUAAAUGAAUAAUAUAUCUGCACAUAUCGACUAUAUUCUAGACAAAAAAAUAUUAGAGAUUUGCUUUGUUCUAAGAGCAUUAAAUAAUUUCUCUAAUUUAAACUCAUCUUAAAAUUCGGAAUUAAAUUCGAACUCAACUAAGUCAGCUCAUUUAUAAUCUAGAAUUGCAAAAAGUCCAUGGUCUCAUAAAUUGGAGGUUUGCGUGAGAAAUAUUUAAGUCAAACUUGGAAAACAUUGCAAUCUCAUUUGAAUUUUAGCCAAUUGUACAAAUUAUUCAGCUUAAUUCUGUUUGGGGUUGGUGCCACGGAACUUUUCGUUUGGGUUCGAAUCUCACCUGCUGCUUUCAAUUCUUGUAUGGGUUUAGUUCAUACAAUUUUUUGCUCCGAAUAUAAAUGGUUCCCCACUUGUAAAAAGUAAAAUUGACUUCCCGAAUUAGUUUGUCUAGUAGCUAGAUACCGAGUUUGCAAAAAAAAUUUUUUUGAAUGUUUACAAUCUACCUAGGGUUAAAAAUGUCAAAAUCCAUGCUCAAUGCAAAAAGGGGGCUAACUCAUUUACCCCAACUUAAAAACAUAUUUUUGUUCUUUUUUCUUUUUGUUUUUCUAGGUUACAAGAGAAAAAAAAAUCUUUUAUUUUUUAAAAUAUUUUGGGUUAAAAAAAAAUCUAAAGACUAUCUUAGAAACAAACAAGCCUUUAGUUGCACAAAAGCAAAAAAAAAAAGCAAGGCAAUGAAAUUGGGUGUAAAUUUGUAAAGUGCAAUUUUUAAUGAGUUAUGAUAAAAAAUAAAUAAAUAAAUAAAGUGUCAGUAGUAUUUUGUGAAAUAAAUGUCCAGAAUACCCUUUUAGCCAUAUAUAAGUGGAAAUAGCAUGAGCCCUAAGCAAAAAAAAGAGAGGAAACAAUAAACUCAACUAAGAAAGAAAAUUUCACUUUUUGGGGGGCUAAAUAAGCUGAAAAAGCCAAAUAAAAUAUAUAAAAUUGAUACACACGCAUUAAUCAAAUUUUGUAACAAAAUGAGCUAAAUAAGUUCUUAUAAGUGCUAAUGAAUGGCCCAUUAUAAUCCAUCGAAUUUUAGAG